GACCAGACGAGGCUGUCUCCUGGGGCAAGAUCCGGGUGGAUGCACAGCCCGUCAAGGUUCCCCCCUACCCAGGUCUAUGCUGACGCCUCCCUGGUCUUCCCCCUGCUUGUGGCUGAAACCUUUGCCCAGAAGAUGGAUGCCUUCAUGCAUGAGAAGAACGAGGACUGAGCGGCUGCGGUCCCAGGAAGGUCUUACCCCCUCUUCUAUUUAUUAAUUUGCAGACCCAGCCCCUCCCCUACUUUUUGGUCAGCUACGUCUCUAGAAUAAGAUGGUAUCUGAAGUCCU
rnacentral:lncRNA from 1 species